rnacentral:rRNA from 1 species
GUUAGGAAUAUUGGACAAUGGGCGCAAGCCUGAUCCAGCCAUGCCGCGUGAACGAUGAAGGCCUUCGGGUUGUAAAGUUCUUUAGCCGAUGAUUAUAAUGACUGUAGUCGGAAAAUAAGCCCCGGCUAACUUCGUGCCAGCAGCCGCGGUAAUACGAAGGGGGCGAGCGUUAUUCGGAAUCACCGGGCGUAAAGCGUGCGUAGGCGGUUUUGUAAGUUAGGAGUGAAAGCCCAGGGCUCAACCUUGGAAUUGCUCUUAAAACUGCAAGGCUCGAAUCUCGGAGAGGAUAGCGGAAUUUCCAGUGUAGCAGUGAAAUGCGUAGAUAUUGGAAGGAACACCAGUGGCGUAAGCGGCUAUCUGGACGAGUAUUGACGCUGAGGCACGAAAGCGUGGGGAUCAAACAGGAUUAGAAACCCCGGUAGUCC